AGAGUUUGAUCCUGGCUCAGGAUGAACGCUGGCGGCGUGCCUAAUACAUGCAAGUCGAGCGGUAAGGCCCUUCGGGGUACACGAGCGGCGGACGGCUGAGUAACACGUAGGAACGUACCCCAAACUGAGGGAUAAGCACCAGAAAUGGUGUCUAAUACCGCAUGUGGCCCACGGGCUAAAGCUUCGGCGGUUUGGGAACG
rnacentral:rRNA from 1 species